rnacentral:rRNA from 1 species
GAAGAGCAUCCUACGGGAGGCAGCAGUGGGGAAUAUUGCACAAUGGGCGCAAGCCUGAUGCAGCCAUGCCGCGUGUAUGAAGAAGGCCUUCGGGUUGUAAAGUACUUUCAGCAGUGAGGAAGGUGGGUAUGUUAAUAGCAUAUUCAUUUGACGUUAGCUGCAGAAGAAGCACCGGCUAACUCCGUGCCAGCAGCCGCGGUAAUACGGAGGGUGCGAGCGUUAAUCGGAAUUACUGGGCGUAAAGCGCAUGCAGGUGGUUUGUUAAGUCAGAUGUGAAAGCCCGGGGCUCAACCUCGGAAUUGCAUUUGAAACUGGCAAACUAGAGUACUGUAGAGGGGGUAGAAUUUCAGGUGUAGCGGUGAAAUGCGUAGAGAUCUGAAGGAAUACCGGUGGCGAAGGCGGCCCCCUGGACAGAUACUGACACUCAGAUGCGAAAGCGUGGGGAGCAAACAGGAUUAGAUACCCUGGUAG